UGCAGCGCCAGUCCUCCAUGGCUCAUCGUCUGAUGCCCGCCAGACAAAAAAGAUUGGGGACCACUGGUCUGGGGGGUGUUUUGUCCCAG